UACGUAGGGUGCAAGCGUUGUCCGGAAUUAUUGGGCGUAAAGAGCUCGUAGGCGGUUUGUCGCGUUGUCCGUGAAAUUCCCUGGCUUAACUGGGGGCGUGCGGGCGAUACGGGCAGACUGGAGUACUGCAGGGGAGACUGGAAUUCCUGGUGUAGCGGUGGAAUGCGCAGAUAUCAGGAGGAACACCGGUGGCGAAGGCGGGUCUCUGGGCAGUAACUGACGCUGAGGAGCGAAAGCGUGGGGAGCGAACAGG
rnacentral:rRNA from 1 species